rnacentral:lncRNA from 1 species
GGAAAAAAAGAAAUAAAAAAAAAAAACAAAAAAACUAAACCAGUCUAGUUCCACUGCUGAGAAAGAAAUCACCCCACAGCAUUUCUGGGAUCAGCAGGAAGGAAAAGCGGUGUCAUUUUACAUUUCCAGAACCAUUUAACAUUUCAUAGGUGAAUUCCAAAGCCUGUGAUUACAAAGUGUGAAACUCACAUUAAAAUUCCCACGAAAUCAACAGAAUGUACAUGUAUAACCAUCGUUUAAAGGUUUAAAGGCCAUUCUCCCUUGUUCACAGAGUGACCAUAGUACCAGAGAAUAGCUUUCUUCUUUGUACCGAACAGACCUGAGUCACUUUCUAUCCUUGGUUAACUCAUCCUACUUGGGAAAUGAGAAGUGGUUUGUCAUUCAAGUUCACCCUUGACAUCAUAACCUCUUUUGAACUGGCCUGGAGCAAAUUGUCUUCUGGGAGCAACAGGAUACCGAGCUUGGGCUGGCCUCAGAUGAAGGGAGGAGAGUGCCUGGAGAGACUGUGUCCUUUUGCUUCCAAAUCUAAACAAAGAAGGUCAGAGAAGAGGCUCAAAUGGAAGCAGCGACCAGAACACGGGAGACUGACUUCUCUGGAGAACUCUGCUAGCUUCCCACGUCCCUUCAGGAGAUCCUUGCCAUGCCCAAUGACUCGCUGUUAUGAGGAUGAAGAUGAAUGGUCUGGAAUCCUCCAGUUCAUCUCAUAUACUGGCUGGAUUCAGUACUCUUCCCACGUCUCCCAAUUGAAACCCUGGAAGGCCAGACACAGAUUUUCAAUUACAACAAUAUCAGACAGAUGCUAGGAAAAAAAGAAGCAAAGAAGGAGCUAAUUGAGAUGGAGUGAUGGGGU